UUUAGUUUUACUAUAACAGAACACCUACCUGUAUUUUUUGAGUAGUCUCUUACAGGUGGUCAUUUGAAUAGUGUGGCCAAACUCCCCACAAUAUAGAUGAGACCAGUUGAUGCUCGAAAUGCCAUGAGCAGUGCUGCUCUCUGUGCACUCUCUGUACUCAGCAUCUGUGUGUGCACACCCUCUGUACCUCGGCAUCUGUGUGUGCACACCCUCUGUACCUCGGCAUCUGUGUGUGUGCACACCCUCUGUACCUCAGCAUCUGUGUGUGCACACCCUCUGUACCUCGGCAUCUGUGUGUGCACACCCUCUGUACCUCGGCAUCUGUGUGUGCACACCCUCUGUACCUCGGCGUCUGUGUGUGUGCACACCCUCUGUACCUCGGCAUCUGUGUGUUCACACCCUCUGUACCUCAGCAUCUGUGUGUGCACACCCUCUGUACCUCAGCAUCUGUGUGUGCACACCCUCUGUACCUCAGCAUCUGUGUGUAUGCAUACCCUCUGUACCUCAGCAUCUGUGUGUGCACACCCUCUGUACCUCGGCAUCUGUGUGUGUGCACACCCUCUGUACCUCAGCAUCUGUGUGUGCACACCCUCUGUACCUCGGCAUCUGUGUGUGCACACCCUCUGUACCUCGGCAUCUGUGUGUGCACACCCUCUAUACCUCGGCAUCUGUGUGUGCACACCCUCUGUACCUCGGCAUCUGUGUGUGCACACCC
rnacentral:lncRNA from 1 species